rnacentral:misc_RNA from 1 species
AGGUGCAGGAAGAGAUCUGUCGCGAAAUGGAGACGCUCAAGACCGAGGCGAAUCUCGAGGUUGCCGGUCGGCGGAUGCGUGAGCUUCAGGCGCGAUGGAAGCAGGUUGCGCUGGCGCCACGAGCGCAGGGCGAGGCGAUGUGGCGGCGUUUCAAGACGGCGCAGGAUGACGUCUACGCGCGAACGUCCGCGUUCUUCGCGGCCCAGAACGAGGAGCGCGCAGGCAACCUCGUUCGCAAGCAGACGCUGUGCGAGCGCGCCGAAGCAUUGGCGGGGUCCACCGACUGGGUGAAGACGGCCGCCGAGAUCCAGGGGCUGCAGGCGGAGUGGAAGACGAUCGGACCGGUGGCUCGCGGCCACGAAAAGGCGAUCUGGGAGCGAUUCCGCCGGGCCUGCGAUCAGUUCUUCACGAGACGUCAGGAAGAUCUCAAGCAUCGCAAGGAAGAGUGGGCAGGCAACCUUGCGCGCAAGGAAGCGCUCUGCGUUACCGCCGAGGAACUGGCCGAGUCCACCGAGUGGGAUCAGUCGGCAGCGAAGCUGAAGCAGUUGCAGGCCGAGUGGAAGAAGAUCGGCCCUGUGCGGAAGUCGAAGUCAGAGGCGAUCUGGCAGCGAUUCCGUGCGGCAUGCGAUCGGUUCUUCGAUCGCUACAAGCAUCGCGAUCAGGUUGAACUGCAGGAGAAGGCCGCGGUUCGCGAAACGGUGAUUCGCGAUCUCGAAGCGCUGGUUCCGCAGGAGUCGUCUGAGCCGGUCUCUGCGCCGGACAACCUGUACGACACAAUCCAUCAGGCGCGUGCGAAAUGGCAGCAGGCGCCAGAACUGCCUCGCCCCGUUCAGCAGGAUCUCGCUGCGCGGUAUCACCAGGCAGUCGCGCGAAUCGUGGCCGCAUGGCCGGAAGCGUUCGCGGGCACCGACCUCGAUCCAGAAGCGACGCGCAGCGGAUGGAGAAGCUGCUGGCCAAAGUCGAAGAGCUCGUCGAGUCGCAGCCGACCCGACGGCGAACCUGUCGCCGACCGAGCGCCUUGCGCAACAGUUGCGCGAGCGGCUGGCCGCCAACACGAUGGCGGGCGGCUCACGCGCGCUAGAAGCCGAAGACGCACGCUGGCGGGCGGUCGAGCAGGAAGUGCGAUCGGCCCAGGCCCAGUGGAUGCGCCUCGGACCCGUGCCGCCGCAGGUGGCCGGUCCGCUCAACGAGCGAUUCCAGCGAGCCUGCCGUCGCUUCUUCGAUCAGCGUCGACGCGCGUCGUAGCCCCUCUGACUAAGAUUUCCUCAUGAUUCGAACCCUGAUUCGGAGUCUCGGUAUUGGUGUGCUUUGCGCGCCGAUGCUGCUCGCGCAGGCGAAGGCACGACGCUUCAGCCGCUGUGGACGCUCACCGGCGACUUCGCGUCACCCGAAAGCGCCUACUACCACGCGGGCUCGAACUCGAUCUUCGUGUCGUCGAUUAACGGCCAGAUCCUCGAGAAGGAUGGGAACGGCUACAUCUCGCGCUUGUCGCCCGACGGCAAAAUCGUCAGUGCGAAAUGGGUGACCGGUCUCAACGCGCCCAAGGGCAUUCGUAGCCUGGGCGGCACGCUCUGGGUGACCGACAUCGACGAGGUCGUGUCGAUCGACAUCGCGACCGCGCGCAUUACCGCGCACGUCAAGGUCGAUGGCGCUCUGUUCCUCAACGAUCUGGCGACGGCGCAGGACGGAACCGUCUAUACAUCGGACUCGAACCUGGCGCGCAUCUACGCAGUCAAGGAUGGCAAGUCAUCGGUCUUCGUGGAGGGCGCCGAUCAGGUUGAUGUCCCGAAUGGACUGCUCGUUGAUGGGACGCGCCUGGUUCUUGGAACGAUCGGUGUCGCCGGCGCUCGAGGACGAGGGCCGGGGCGCGGCGCAGGACCGCCCCCGAGCGGGCACCUUUACGCCUUCGAUCUCACGACCAAGCAGCGCACACAACUCACGACGGACCCCGUCGGCGGGAUCGACGGGAUCGAACCGGACGAUCGCGGCGGCUUGCUGAUCACGGACGUGAUCGGUGCGCGACUUCUGCACGUGUCCGCGUCUGGUCAGACGCAGGUGCUGGCGAAGUUCUCAGGUGGCGGAGCCGACUUCGGCUACAUCGGACCGAAGCGAAUCGCAGUCGUGCCGUUCCUCAACGCGAACACGGUCUCGGCCUACGACCUGACAUCCUCGCUGAAAUAGAACGAAUCCCGAAUCCCGAAUCCCGAAUCCCGAAAGGUCAGCCUUCCAGAUACGUGUAUCCGUGCAGGCCGUCUUCGUAGAAGCGAAGAAGCUUGCCGGCGCCCUCGUAGUCGACGCGUCCUUCACGCACCGCGGUCUCGACGUCCGUU